AUUUAAAACUGACUCCAGUUUCUCCUAUAAUGCUGUAUUCCUUUUAUCAGGAAUUCCAGGUUCCUUUCUCCUGUUUCCUGGGAUUUGCAAAACAGCAAAAUCAGCCAGUUUACAUUUAAGAUGUUUUGAUUCUUUUCUCAGACUUUUGCCAGUGUACUUAACGCAGAAUGAUUAAAAGCUGUGUGUUCUGUUAGAACUGUUAUAGUGUUUAAACAAGGAAGUCUGUGUUUGUUUAAGAGAAUGGGGAAAUGGUUAUCUUGACAGAUUAGACUGAAAAAACAGGACAGCCACAGUCUAGCACAGAUGUCCACAUUUGCCACUUGGCUGGCUUUUUGAGGUAUUCUAAACAAAAGUGGCUUGUGUGCUGGUGCUGGAGCUCUGCUUGGCACCUGACUGAGGAAUGUGAGUCAGAGUCACUGCCAGGCCCUGGGUGUCUUUGUGGGCACGUGUUCCCAGGUUUGAAAUUUUUCAGAGUCUGUUUAACUGUGUCAUAAUUAAUGGAACACAGGAGGGAUUUCUCUUGCUGGCUUCCACACCCCGUUCCAGGGUGAUUUCAUCUCACAUCACACGUGGUUCCUGUGGCUUCACUGAGCAGAAGCCCCGGGGAUGACCAUCUUCAUCCAUCUUUUACAAGCUUGAUCUUUAACUGGAGGAAACAUGAGGGGCAGCUGUGGUUAAGUGGCAAACGCAUGGGAAGAAAAUUCAGGACCCCUGAGUCCAGCCAGAGCUCUCCCACUUGCUAGCUGCUUGGUCUUGGUCGGGUCCUCAUUUUCCCUCCUAGGGUCGUGCAGCUGUGGUGGAUGAGACGGAUGAGGGCAGCCCAUGCUUAGCGAGCCUGCCCUGUGUGCUUGGCCCUGCUGCAGGCUCUGCACGUGGUGCCUCGUGCUCUCCUCCAAAGAGCUUGCUGAGAUUAAAAGAAGUAAGGAUGAAGAUUAAGGAGUUAAAGAAUGACUGGUUCCCUACCCCCACUAGUCCCCAUAGGAAUCCUGCUGGCAGAUCAUGCAGGCAAGAUAAACCUGAAGAGUCAGUGCACACAAUGGAGAAUGAUGCAGAAUCCAACCUCAUGCCUUAAUGAUUCACUGAAAUUUUUUCCCCCUUUUCCCUUUAAAAGCUGUCAUGGCUGGGCAGAAUGCUCAGAGUUGGUCUUGGGACAUGAGUCCACCUUCCCCCAAGAAUACUAGCUUUGCUGAUUAAAGCAUCUUUACUU
ensembl:lncRNA